rnacentral:misc_RNA from 1 species
AUUUGAAUGAAAUUAUUGUUGUUGUAGUUUUAUUGUCUUGGACAUAAGAUCUAGACUUGUGGAGAAGUCGUUUACUAUGUGUUGCAAAAAACUACAAACUUAUGUUAGCUGGCAUAAAACUACAAACUUAUUCAUCUUAUGCAACAAACUUGUGGAGGCACAAACCCUAUUCAGUAUAGAACGCAUAGGAUAAAAGUCAUCUCCUUCAAUAAUAUAUAUAAGUGUUCUUUCUGUAACAGGCUAUGAUGUAGCAACUGCAGGAAGCUUUCCAUGGAAUUAUAUUACUGGAACACUAAUUAUGUAGGUGUGAACAUCGGCUAUAUAAUACUGAAGACUUAAAAUUCUUUUGUACUAACAUGAAUUGGAAGGCUACUGACAAAUGUUUUUUGACGUGUGUGAUUCCUUUUCACAUAUGUGAUCUUUGAGUGCAAAAUAUAUAAUUUCAUUCAAACUAAAAAAGACACCACUUUGUCUGGAAUAAUUUCAAACAGAUGAUUUUGCUACCAUCACUUAAAUCUUCAAAUCUGGAUUAAUAUGAAUUGCCAAAUCUUCCUAUUAAUACAGCUUUUUAAAACGUAUUCUUGUAACUACCUCUAGGGGGAGCGCCUCCAUUCUGCAAUAAGUACUAUCCAAGAUUUUCAGCGUUUGAUAGUUUCUUAAUAGCAUAGCAAUGCUGAUGUAGAACCAAGAACAGUACAAAAGGGAAAAGGAAUAAAACUCUCAAAAUUUCUAUUAAUUUUCAAUUUUCAAUAUCAAUAAUAAUAUGCUCUAGGAAAAUACAUAAAUUGUAGAGGUAUUUAUAGACUAAUAACUA